rnacentral:lncRNA from 1 species
CUAGUUCUUAAAACUUAGAUCUCACCUUUGAAUGAAUAUAUUGAAUGAAAAAAAAAACAUGUGCUAGUUUAUUGACGACUCACCUAUUUAAAAAUAUUAAUUCACAAAAAAACUAUUUAGAAUAUUUUAAUCUCAAACAGUUCGGUACUAUUUCUUCAAAAAAUUAUACUCACGUUUUUUGUCACCUUGUUUUAUAACAGUCUAAUGGGGAAAAAUACGGGUAACAAACUUAAGUAAUUGAGAUGCAACAAAGACGCAGUUUGACACUUAAAACCAAAAACCCAUUUUUAAUCAGGUCAGCAAGUGCAUGAUCUUCAUCUCCACGUGUCUAGUGAUCACUAGACAAGUUACAUAACACGUGCAUGAACACGAACCUGUCAUGCAUCUUUGUCUUAUAUGUCACAACUAAGCUUGGAUUCUCAACAUAACUCUGAUACUUGUUGAAGCUACUCCUUUAUGUUCGCCUUCAUCACUCAUCUUCAACUUUGUCGACCAUCCAAACGGAAUGCCUCCACGUCUCCGGCAUAAUUACAAUUCGGAGAUCUUCCACCCCACUAAGGACUGACGUCUCAAGCAGAAGCAAAAUUAUCCAAUCAAAGAUAGUGUUUGAUCCAAAAAUGGUGUUUAUGUUGAAAUGUUUGUUGAAUCAAUACAAUAAAAGAAUCUAAAAAUAAGAGAUUAGAUUCUUGAGGUUUAAGAGAAAUCUUCAAAGAAUCAAAUGAGAAAUGAACAUCAAAAAGAAUUUAUAGAUCAAAGAUUGUAUUACAAGAGUGAUCAAAUAAAUCUAAAUCUAUAAACUCUUUGUAAAAAGUGUUCUAGGUCUAAAAUAGAGAAGAAGAGAUCCUUUCAUAAAGAGAGGUAUCUCUUUAUUUAUACAAGGAAGAAGCUAGGGCUUCAUAGUAAAAUGGGCCUAAUUUAUUGUCUACUGGGCCUUGAGAGAGAAUGUAAAUCCACCCCAACAUUAAGUCCCCCAAGUUCGUAGAGAGAGAUGAAGUCGAUCUCUGUGAAUUUUACGAAUAGGGUUUAUUAGACAAUAAACUAGACACAUUCAUACCUAUGAUGGUUUAGGCGAGUUUACUUCGAACUUGUGCCUAGUAAAAGGCGAGUUUGCUUUAAACUCGUGCUUAGUGAAAGAAGAGUUUACUUCACUCAUGCUGAGAUAGAGGCGAAUUUACUGAGAACUCAUGCCUAGUAGAAGGAGAGUUUCUGUAAACUCAUGCCUAGUCAAAGAUGAGUUUUUGUAAACUCGUGUCUAACAAUAAGUGAGUCUAAUGCAAAUUUGUGCCUAAUAAAACGCAAGUUGAAUUUAAACUCGUGCCUAGUAAAAAAUAAGUUUACCGAACUAUUGCCGAUCCGAAGUCUCGUGUUGAGAUCGUGUGCGCCGAGCAAGUUGUUGGCUUGUGCCGCUUGUACGGCUUGUGGUAAGCUCUUCAUGAGAAUCAGAAUCUGGACUUGUCAUUUGUGGCGCAAUGACAAGAGACUGAUCCGAGCAUGUCACAUGUCUUUGAUGAUGAGUGGCCAGUGGUCAUGAGUUGUUGGAGAUGAAAGUUUUUUUUCUUCUCUUUUUUUUUUAUAACAGCUCCAAGCUCUGAUUCAGUCUCCUAAAGGAGUAGAAGAAAAAUAGAGAACGUGGCCAGUGCAGUGAAACACAACCGAGAUGGCAAGCUUGUGAUGAACAGCCUUUGUUGCCGAGAGAGGCUUCGUUGUUACGUCGAGAUGACCAUGACGAGAAGGCUUCUUGGAGAGAUGAUCCGACGAUUAGGUCAUAUCUCAAGUGCUGUUCCUUCUUAACGAGAAGCUUGUGCUCAUUGUGGCAAGCAUAUGGAAGUUUGCGACGAGAUGAUAGGCUGUUGGUCGUGUCCUCAAGAUCAUGAUGUCGUUUCUGCUUGGUUAUUGCCUUCGAGUCCAGUGUGAGAAGUUCUCCACGAGUUUUGCCAUGAAAGAACCGUCACAAUCAAAUUGCCAUGAUUAGUUGCUCGCCGCUUUCACUGAGGUUGAGCUAUGUCUAUGCAGUGGCAACGUCGCUGCUGAGCUGAAGAACAAGCAUGCUCUGUGCCGCUACUGAUGUUGAUGCGACAUGUGAGGACUGAGGAUAACGAGAUAGCCGAGGCCAAGUAUUGAGCUCCGACGAGAACGAAACGCAUGGACUGCCGAGAAUGGUUUUGACGAGAUGCCUUUGCCGAGGUCCAAGCUUAACGAGAUCAGAGCAUCUUUGGCCUGAAGAAGAAACAAGCGUCUGAGGUAGAGAUCAAGCGACAGUAGAGAUCGAACUGUUUCAGAAACGAUCUUUUGAUGAGCUCUUGCCACGGUUGCGGCAGGCUUGUGCUCUCUUUCCGUUAGGAGUCUUUGCAAACAAAAUGAUGAGAGGACGAGCUCUUGUGAUGAGAUGGUUCUUGCCUGGAUCAAGUCUUGAGCUUUGAUGAGGAGAAUCACCAUGUUUGCUGAGAUUCAUCAUUGGGCAGGUCAGCAUUAUCUUGUUCGGUGAUGGGCUCUGUGUAUCACAGAACAAGCCAGCAAAGAGAAGCAAGAGAUUCCAACAAACAAAGGUGGAGCUUGAGUGACAGGGGAGUCGCAGGGAGGAACACGACAGUGAGAUUCCAGAAACAACAGUCAUUCAGACUGGAGCAGAGAUGUUGAGCAGAGGAGGUGACUUGUAAACAGGAGAAGUCACCGGUCAUGGUGGAGCUCAGCCAUGAGAGCUUCUUGAAGAACAUGUCUCAGGUUGAAGUGGUUGCAGGUAGUGCCGUGAUGCAAUCAAAGUAGCAAGCUUUACGAGACUCAUCUUCUCCCUAUCGUGGUCGGUGAGCUUCUUUGCCUCAAGUGUGGAAUCUGUAACCUGAGGUUUGCGAGGAGUAACAAAACGAGCAAAUACUUGAUCUUGGUCGCAGAAACAAACUGCUCAGGUGAUGAUAGAAGCUCUCUGAAUCAAUUCGUCGAACAAGACGCGUGCUUGAUUCUAAAUCGAGAAUUCUCGCGGCGUCUCUCUUCAUCUCCUUCAACACGUUCAGAGAAACUCCUGAGGAAUCUCAGAGCUGUUGAUCUGUCUAUCAAUGGCGUCCAAGCGGUUUUGUUGGUGAGAGGAGAGGUAGUGAACUGAGUUGAGAUCUCGGUUCUCCGUCGCGAGCUCCAAAGCUGAGAACUUUCGAGUUCACGACUGCCGUUGAGGUAGUGAACGACCUCUCUCUUUUCUCCUUCCGCCACAGGCUGGCUCGUCGUUGGCGGAGAUCGAACGGAACUCGACGAACUCGACCGAUGCGGGAAAGCAGCGACAGCCCCAUCGACGUCGUCUGUGUUCGAUUCCCUCUUUUUCAGAGUCGUCGUCGGUCACGACUCCUAAAGUCAGAAAUAAUUUUUUUUUAUAUUAUUUCCAUUCCUUUUCAAAGAUAAACGUAUGUAUCUUAUUAUGCCAAGAUUAUGAAUCGAAUUUUAAUAAUGAGGUGAGAUUGUGAAACUUAUCUUUUUCAAAGAUGAUUUCAAUACUCGAUCAAACUGCCGACGAAGUGCUUGAUGAUAGUCCCAUCCCCAACAAAAACAAAGCUUUAUGAAAGCUUCAUCUUUUAGCUUGAGAUGAAGUUAGAUCUAGGAUUUUCCCAAGGUUGAUAUGCUUUAAAGAUAGUUCUCCUUGCCCCCUCCUUCUAGUGCUAACUGUUUGUUCCAAAAAUGGUGUUUAUGUUGAAAUGUUUGUUGAAUCAAUACAAUAAAAGAAUCUAAAAAUAAAAGAUUAGAUUCUUGAGGUUUAGGAGAAAUCAUCAAAGAAUCAAAUGAGAAAUGAACAUCAAAAAGAAUUUAUAGAUCAAAGAUUGUAUUACAAGAGUGAUCAAAUAAAUCUAAAUCUAUAAAUUCUUUGUAAAAAUUCUAAGUCUAAAAUGGAGAAGAAGAGAUCCUUUCAUAAAGAGAGGUAUCUCUUUAUUUAUACAAGGAAGAAGCUAGGGCUUCAUAGUAAAAUGGGCCUAAUUUAUUGUCUACUGGGCC